GGUGUUUACUCUUCUACAGCAGAUAAAUCUAAGGUGUUCUGCCUAAGGAAAUGUUCCUCUUUGAAAAACUUUGUGUGGCCUAUAAAUCCCUCCCUAGGGGAGAGCAAGGAGUGUGCCCAGUUCCAAGAUCCGGCCAGACAACACUGUGCAGCCUGGAGAAACCAGUCAGCUCCACCAUCAAGGACCCAAGUUCAGCAGAGGUGUGACACACAGUGGUUCCAGGCAUUAUGAACUCUCUGGUGUAAAUCACAGUGACUUGAGGAACAGGCCAGUUUUCAGCAAAGCAUUGCACAAAGGAGCCAAGGGGAAACAGCCUGGCUCUGGCUUAAUUUUUCAGUGGAUGGUCCCUUCAGUCGCCUCUUCUCUGCUUCACUUUAGCAGAAUCCAAAUAAGUGCUGAUUCCAAGAAGGGGACAAUGAGAAGUGGUCCAAGAAUGCUUUCUUCCUUGACUGUAAUCUGCAAAGUGACGUCAGUGGGAGGUUGCAUGUGGUGCAGUAGUUUAGAGAUGAGAGUUCUUUGUGUAGACAGCAAUCAGGACAGCUUAGGGUAGACUAAUGACAAUAUUACUUACAAACAUACACCAGAAUGGCUCCUCUCAGGCUCUAUCUGUGAGACUCAUAAGCACCAUUCUAAUUGUAAUCUUAAUUGCAUUUUCUCUGGGAGGUUCUAAGCUCCCUACAGGCUGAGACUGUGGCCAUCUUAUUUAUCACCUCAUUCUUAGAUUCUAGCCAGAUGCCUAACUUGUGAUUAUCAUUCAUUAGAUAAUGAUCUAAAUGAAAUAGAACAUCGUUGAUACCAAACAGAUUGAAGGGAACAUCAUUCCUAGCUAGGGUCACUGCCCCACCUUCAGCUCUUUCCUACUGUGCUUUCUUACCCUCCUGAAUUUAGCAUGUCCUGACUAAUGGGUUUCUUUGCUUGUUAACCAACAACUAGAGUAGGUGAAUUUAGGUGGCGAAAUGCUGGGCUGUCAUAGGCCAUACAUGUGGCAUUUUGGAAGUUAUUUUGAAGUGUGGCAUUUAGAAGUGACAUUUGACUCAGCCUAAGAGAAUAAGCCCUUAAAACUUUCAGUCUCAACACAAACCAGUGUCUAUGUUUACCAGUCAUACUCAGAGGCAACAGAGUGGGCCCUUCGGUGACCUCUAGACACCAAUGCAGAUACAGAAUGGUAGGGCAGACCAGGCCAGUUUCUCCACCUUCGGCAUGGUGUUAUCAUCCUAUUCCACAGUCCAUUCUAAAAGGUGGGGCAGAAAGAAUGAACCCACCCAGGGCUGGCUGACUCAGAAUGCUUCUCUCCCAGCCUCAGAUGGAUUCAUCUCAUCUCGAAGUUUUUCUCUGAAAAGCCGUAAACAUGUUCCCUUGUAUUGGGGGCAGUUGUUAAAAGGUUGUGUGCUACAAUGUGGUAACUACAUUCUGUUGUGGUCACGGGGGUGGGGGGUGUUGAUGGUGCUGAUCUGAGAGGUGACAAAGACAGUCAAACAUUUGGGGAAAACAGCUCAGUGAAUGUUCUAGAUGGAAAUCUAGUGAGAAUUCCUCAGGCAAAGGAGGAACUUGCAGAUGGAAAUUCUGGAGGUAUCUAGGAGCUUGGUGUCUGGAACAUUCACCUUUAGAUAUCAGGCCAUCCUCAAUCUAGGGCACAGGGCACCCACAGCUUCCUGCCCUGCCUUCCUCAGCAUGUACCAAAAUGUUAUAAUUAGACAUCUAUUUGUGGGUUGCUUGGCCAGCUCUCACUGGACAAAGGCCAUGUAUUUUCUUACCUCAUUUGGUUCUGCAUAAAGUCUGAGAAGUAAUCAACACUAAUUUCUUAUUUUUAAUAAGCAAAUAAGUCUUAUUUUUAACGUGAUUAAUAUGUUUCUUAAUCAUUAGUAAAUUGAAAAAAUUAAUUACUCUGAGCCCACUGCAGCCUCCCUGUGGGGAUUGAGCUGGCAGGGCCUCAUUGAUGAAGAGGAAGGGAAGAGUAGAAUUAUCAAGUAAAGAUGAGCUAGGAUAGGAUGGUAAGUCUCAAUUCUAGACAUUCAAAGUCCUGGGCCAAAGUCCUUUGUAAUUUCUGGUUGCUGGAGUAGUAGGUGCCAGGACUAUGAAUGAGAAAUGAGUAGAGCUGUUCAAGAGACUGAAUGGCCUGGAUGGAUCUUGGGUCUGUGUUUUAGGGGGUAAUGCAAAGCUGACCCAACAUAUUUUGUUACGUCUAGCUCAUUUCAUUUUUGUUGCUGUUGCUGCAGCUCAGAAGGCAAUCACAGUUCCUUUUUUUGGAGUUAGCGGGUAAACAUUUUUACUGAAACCUUGCCUUUUGUCCUUUGCUCACAAAUCCAUUUAGACCCAAGGCACUGGGAGUUAGAGUGAAUGAAAAUCUUUUGAAAAAAAAAUUUUUUUUUUCAAAAUGCUUUGGUUCAGCACAGGCUGGGGUAUCUGAAGUGGGAAUGCCAGCAAUCAGCUCAUCAGUUAAAGGCUUUUUGUUGCCUAACAACCUGAGUUUGAUUCCUAGGACCCACGUGAAAAAAGAGAACUGGCUCCCGAGAGUUGUCCUCAGACCUCUACUGUCAAGCAGGAGCACAAAGUGACAACUCUUGAGUUGCUGCACUGACCAGAAGCACACCUGGAAAACUAGACUUCAACUGCUUCUCCCGUCUUCGCUUAAACACCUUUUAGUUAUUAAUUUUUUGAUUCUCAAAAUAUUUUGCGUAUUUUCAAUCAAAAUAUAAUCACACUUAAAUUUCUUGAAGGACUUCUGUCUCCAUUGUUGGAAGCUGUAGAGAGUGGCCUGGGAGGGUUCUCCUUCGAUUCCUCUGCAGCUGGGAGAAUCCGACCCAUCAGUCCUGCCACCAUGAUGUUCAAGGGUGCAGUGGCUCUUUCAGAAUGCUCUGGACCUUGAGCGCGGCUGAUGUGCUGUCCUGGCAUGCAGCAUCUCUCAUUCAUCAACAGGAGAGUGGUUUGUCUUUGUCUGUCAGAGUUAACUAGCAAGAAGCUGUCCUGUGGAAAGUUGGCGACGUGGGCGAAGUCCUAAUUGACAGGAUUUGAGGAUGAAGACAGACUGUACAGAGAAACCUGAGUUGGAAGGCCCCUUGUUCCUCAGCUGGGCUCAGAGGGGGCUGACCCCUUUUCCUGGAGCCUUCUGCUUCUUAACUUCUGAAAUAGGUUUGCAAAGUGGUGGUCCUUUUGCACCCUGUUGUUUUGUGGUUCAGAGAAAGAAUUCUGGGGGAAUUCGGCCUAAACAGAGCGCAUACCCACAACUGAGGAACUAUUCCUGGACACAAAUCCAUUUAUUGUUCUUGAUUGCAUGCACACAUAAUUCAAAUUCUCCAGUAACUUCGUCCCUCAUUUCCAGCUGUGUGCUAUGUACCGUCUAAAUAUUUUCAGUGAAAUCUUGCCUCUUAAUCUUUGGCCUCAGAGUCUAUCUAGAGAUCUGGCACUCAGAUUAACCGUUACCUCCCCAAGCAGCUGUGAGGCUGGAAUUUGUGGUUUGAUUUGAGUUACUUCUGUGUCUCGUCAUGGACAAAAAUCUCACAGGAACUGUCAAGAGAGAUGGGCUCUGGCUUAACAAAUGAAAUCUGUAAACAGGACCCAGGAAACUGUGGUUUUACUUUCUCUGUUUUGAAAUACUGUUUGCUUUGUUGUGUGAACAGUAGGUGAGUUAACUACGCACAUUGAGAUUUCCUAGCUUGAAGUGUUAUACAAUUUAGUACUCUCCUUUGGUAUCGCUUUGGAAUUUUCAUACACAAAUAAAACUGAGCAGACACAGCUCCUCA